CCAAAACUGGCACUAACAGUGCCCUUUCUGAAUUUUGGGAAGGUGAGUCCACAGAAAUGGGGUUCCAUGGGAACAGAGGUUAUGGCUGAACAGCCAUUUGCUAAGGAGUUUUGGUGUAUGACUCCCGG
rnacentral:sRNA from 1 species